AUGGUCUGGGGAAAGGCUCCUGCGUUGUUGAACCUGCGCAGUUGUGGGUUCAGCCUUGUACCAGACAGCCUGACCCUGACCUAAAGUAAAUCCCAGGAGAAGUUUUUUCUGGGUUUUAAAUUUGCAGUAACAGGUGUGAACAUUCUAGCAGCAGUUUGAUGAUCAUGUAUGAUACUGCAAACAGGA